rnacentral:tRNA from 1 species
AAGGUGUUAGUAAAAUAAUUACACAGCCUUGUCAAGACUGAAUUGCAGGCGAAACCCCUGCACACCUUA